CAUCCUGCUGGCCUCCCGAGGGAGCUGCAGAGUCUUCCAUAACACUUUUUGCACCCAGGAAACCUUUCGGAAUUGCUCCGAUGUGUAUACUAUUUCGGGGCUUGAUUCCCGAAGCUAGAGCUCGCUUUGGAGGUUUCUGGAAGAAAAGAGAAGAAGUGGAACAUUUUGUUUCUUCCCCCCAACUCCCAGCACCUCCUGACUAUUUGUUCCUACCUCCAUAUUAGAACAGGAAGCAUGGCGGACACUUCCUGUAUAAACACCGCGUAUCUACUACCGGGUUGUAGUUCAGAUGAGCAAAGUAUCAUAUAUUUUAUUCCUGAGCAAAGUAUCAUAUAUUUUAUUCCUGAGCACAAUGAUCGUCGGACCCCCCCUCACUCUGGAUUCUGCCGCUGUCCCGCUGGGCUCUUAGGCAGUCCCUAACACCGCCCCCCGACCCCCCCGACCCGCUUCCCCUCUUCUCUUCUGGAUGAGGUGUUAAUUGGAUCUCGUCUAGUUUCUGUCAUGCAAAUUUUUUUUUCAUAUGUUUGUAAAAAUCAGAAUCCUUGUUUUCCCCUUGAUUUAGCAGUUCAUCUUGUAGCUUCUGAAACACUUCACUCAUAAAUAUAAAUGCCUUCCCCCGUUCAUUCCACAUUGUGCCUAUUCAUGUCUGUUUUUUUUAAAUCAGAGACCUUCAAGCUGGAAAUUUUACGUACUUUGUUCUGUUGACAAGACAGUAGUUUUCUUGGUCUAUUUUUUUCGAAAUUCUAUGGCUUAAAUUGGAUAUGCUUUUCUCCAGCAAGGCAUUAACAGGAAGCCUUUCUUAUGUGAAACUGAUCUGUGCUGUAUUGUGACAGAACAGACUUUCAUUACAUAUUCUUUGCCGUACGCCUCGCGAGUACUAAAUUUUAAUUUCCACACAUUUAUUGACCCUGGAAUAAGUUGCUCCUUGGUCUGGGUGCCACAUUUACUUUCUCUGAUGACACCUCUCUUGGAACACAAGGUAAUCCUGGAUGCUGGGAUCUGUUUUACGUCACUUCAUGUUUCCCCUGCCUGUCGGUCACUUUUGUUUCAUCUCAGUGUAUGAUAACUCAGCUGCUGCUGGAGAAUUGUUAAGUGAUUUUUUUUUUCUCUGCCUGAUGGCUCUGGACGGAAAGAUGAAAAUGCAGCCUCAUCCCUUA